UAAUUUUUUUGUAUUUUUAUUAGAGACGGUGUUUCAUCAUGUUGGCCAGGCUGGUCUCCAACUCCUGACCUCAGGUGAUCCACCCACCUCAGCCUCCCAAAGUGCUGGGAUUACAGGCGUGAUCCGCCUGGCGUGGUGGCUCCACUUUUGAUCCCAGGACUUUGGGCGGCCAAGCGUGGAGGGUCGCUUGAGCCUAGGAGUUCCAGACCAAACCUGGGCAACAUGGUGAAACCUGAUCUCUUUUUUUUUUUUUUCUUUUUGAGACGGAGUUUCGCUCUUGUUGCCCAGGCUGGAGUGCAGUGGCAUGAUCUCCGCUCGCCACGGCCUCCACCUCCCAGGUUUGGGUGGUUCUCCUGCCUCAGCUUCCCGAGUGGCUGGGAUUGCGGGCAUGAGCCACCAUGCCUGGCUCAUUUUGUAAUUCUUUUUGUUUUUAUUUUUCCUUUUUUUUUUUUUUUUUUUUUGUGCAGACGGGGUUUCUCCAUGUUUGUCGAGCUGGUCUCAAACUCCCGACCUCAGGUGAUCCGCCCUCCUUGGCCUCCGCGGGUGCUGGGACUGCAGGAGUGAGCCACCGCGCCUGGCCCAAUUUAUUAAUCAGAAAGGAAUAGAUUGGCCUGGCGUGGUGGCUGACCCUUGUGAUCACAGGACUUUGGAUGGCCUAGCACAGUGGAUUGCUUGAGCCUAGGAGUUCCAGACCGGCCUGGGCAAAAUGGUGAAACCCAGUUUUUUUUUUUUUUUUUGAGGCAGAGUUUCGCUCUUGUUCCCCAGGCUGGAGUGCAGUGGUGAGGUCUCGGCUCCCCGAGGCCUCCGCCUCCUAGGUUUGGGUGGUUCUCCUGCCUCAGCCUACCAAGUGGCUGAGAUUGCAAGUAUGAGCCACAAUGCCUGGCUAAUUUUGUAAUUUUUUUGGGGGGGUGAGGUACAGACGGGGUUUCUCCCUGUUGGUUAGGCUGGUCUCAAACUCCCGACCUCAGGUUAUCUGCCCGCCUCCGCCUCCGGGGGUGCUGGGAUUGCAGGCGUGAGUCAGUGCGCAAGGCCCAAUUUAUUAAUCAGAAAGGAAUAGAUCGGCCUGGCGUGGUGGCUCACGCUUGUGAUCCCAGGACUUUGGACGGCCAACCGCGGCGGAUCGCUUGAGCCUAGGAGUUCCAGACGGGCCGGUCUCUUUUUUCUUUCUUUUUUUUUUUUUUUUUUUUUUGAGGCAGAGUUUUGCUCUUGUUGCUGGGCUGGAGUGCAGUGGCAUGGUCUUGGCUCCCCCAGUAUCCGCCUCCGAGUUUGGGUGGUUCUCCUGCCUCAGGCUCCUGAGGGGCUGGGAUUGCAGGCAUGAGCCACCAUGCCCGGCUCAUUUUGAAUUUUUUUUUUUUUUUUUGGUGGGUACGGUCAGGGUUUCUUCCUGUUGCUUAGGCCGGUCUCAAACUCCCGACCUCAGGUUAUCUACCCAUCUCGGCCUCCUGGGGUGCUCGGAUUGCAGGCGUGAGCCACCAGGGUGCUGGGAUUGCAGGGGUGAGCCACCGCGCCUGGCCCACUUUAUUAAUCAGAAAGGAAUAGAUUGUCCUGGCCUGGUGGCUCACGCUUGUGCUUCCAGGAAUUUGGACGGCUGAGCGCUGCAGAUCGCUCAAGCUAGGAGUUCCAGACCAGCCUGGGCAACAUGGUGAAACCCGGUCAAAUUUUUUUUUUUUUUUUUUUGAGGCGGAGUUUCCUUCUUGUUGCCUGGCUGGAGUGCAGUGGCGCGGUCUCGGCUCCCAGUGGCCUCCACCUCCGGGUUUGGGUGGAUCUCCUAUCUCAGCUUCCCGAGUGGCUGGGAUUGCAGGCGUGAGCCACCAUACCCGGCUCAUUUUGUUUUUGUUUUGUUUUGGUUUGGUUUGGUUUUUUGUGUAGACGGGGUUUCUCCAUAUUUGUCGGGCUGGUCUCAAACUCCUGACCUCAGGUGAUCCGCCCGCCUCUGCCUCCGGGGGUGCUGGGACUGCAGGCGUGAGCCACCGCGCCCGGCCCAAUUUAUUAAUCAGAAUGGAAUAGAUCGGCCUGGCGUGGUGGCUUACCCUUGUGAUCCCAGAACUUUGGACGGCUCAGUGUGGCAGAUUGCUUGAGCCUAGGAGUUCCAGACCUGCCCGGGCAACAUGGUGAAACCCGGUCUUUUUUUUUUUUUUUUUUGAGGCAGAGUUUCGCUCUUGUUGCCUAGGCUGGAGGGCAGUGACCUGGUCUUGGCUUCCCGUGGCCUCUGCCUCCGGGUUUGGGUGGUUCUCCUGCCUCAGCCUCCCGAAUGGCUGGGAUUGCAGGCAUGCAUUGGAGGCAACAAUCCUUGGAAUGUGAUUGACCGUAGAGAAUAAUGAAUGUGGAAGACCCAGAACAGACUUUAAAAUGUUAAGCCCAAAUGACUGUCUGACAGGUGGUAUCUGUAAUAAAAAUUGGAAACUCUGAAGGAAGAACAAGAUUCUGAGGAAAAGACUAAUUUUUUAAUGUGUUGAGCUUGAGGGCCUGCUUUGGAACUAACAGGCAGCUGAAGAUUUCAUUUCAUGUCAAAGAAACUUAAUUUAAAAUCCAGCAAGUACUAACCUCAGAGGUAAAUGUGAAGGACUGAAAUACCAACUUGCCCACCAUGUUGGAGAGGUUUAUGAGAGCUCAAUGCAGAAAUUCCUCUGAAGUGGGAAAAUCUAUAAUUUCUCUGAAGAAGCACUGUCUGUGCUCUGGAGGUCAGAAACUUUCUAGACUCAUGUCCUCGUUAGGGCAGAUCCAGAAGUCUUUUAGAAAUUAAAUUUUGGACAUGCCCAUGUGUCCUCUGAGCCUGUCCUUUCUGUCAGAAGUCAUGCAGAGACCCAAGUGUCAAAAAGGGACACAUUCUUUUGUUGAUGCACAAGAUUGUGGCAUUCCAAUCUCUUUCUGAAAAUACAUUAUUAGAUUCUUUGCAGCCAAAAUCUUAAGAAAAGUUUGGUAUUGGAGACUAAUAUUCCAUGAAGAAUUACCUGAAGCAUGAGGAAAUCAUCCCUUUAGAUCAGGGGAUUUUUUCUUCAAUUUUUAAAUUGACACAUCAUUGUACAUAUUUAUAGGGUAUAGGGUGAUAUUUUGAUUAGAUCAGUGUUGUAUAGCAUGUUAUGUAAAGCUUCUGAGAAGAGUCAGGGAGCAUCUUAGAAAGCAAAAUGGGAGUCUGUAAACAGACAUGUAAUGAAUACUCAGACAUGUAAUGAAUAUUCAUGCACUCCCAGAUAUUUCAGAGACUUCCAGUUAUGUUGGGAUCACGUGGAAAGAUCUAAGAGACUCUGAGGUGAAGGGCCAUGAAUCACUCUGGGGCUGAGGCAGUAAAAAGCCCCUGCCUCAUUCCCAAGUUCUCUCCUUUUCCGCUUCCAGUACUUUGAAGGUUAUGUGCAAUGUGUGUCAUAGGUUAAGGAUAGAGGAGUUUAUUCUGACUGACAUUGAACUUUACGGGAGCAACCCACAAACUUUGGUGUGGUUGAGCCACUGAGAAUUCAAGCUUAGUAUCUUCUUGUUGCUGUUGCUGUUUACCAACACGGUGGGAUUUCUACAGGGCUCAAGCGGGCAGAGAAAUUCCCUGUGAACAAGAAUGUCUCAUGUUGGGCUUCUGUAUAAAUUGUGCUGUUGAAAAAUGUUAAGCAGAUAAAAAUUUUAGAAAUUCAUUGCUCCACACUGUAUCGAUGCUAUUUUUGUCUCAGUUGAAGCCAUCCUAAAAUUAUAUAUUUAGAUCAUACUAUCUUCAAUAGAAUUGUUUUUACUGAGUUGCUUUUUGAUGUUAUAGAUGAGCCUUAUGUAAUUCACAACUGAAUUCAUACACAAAUGUUAUUGAGUCAAUUGCCCACCAUGUUAGAGAGGUUUAUGAGAGCUCAAUGCAGAAAUGCCUCUGAAGUGGGAAAAUCUACACUUUCUCCAAAGAAACUAUUAUAGUUUUAACAGAAAGAAUGAUGGAAAAUAAUAAGAUAGAAAAUCAAAAUCGUAUGAAGGAGUACGGAAGAUGGGGCACUAUUGAAGGGAUUAUUUGAUGGCAAUAAGAAUGAAAAGGUGUCAUUGAAAUUCUUUAGGUUUCACAUAGAAAUUGCACCAUUUUAUCCCGGCAGACAUAUUGUUUAGAAGUUUUUAAGAAAAGAAAUUUUUGAAUCAUGGUUUACACUGUUUUAGGUCAUGGGAACUAGUAAACAUGUUUCACUAUGCAGACUAUUAGUCAACAUUUAGAUCAUGCUUUUCAAUAAGGAAGGUCAAAUUGGGAGAGGAGAAUCAAUAAAUCUAAUUGUUACAGUCACUCAACUGACAUGUUGAAGGGCCUGGAAAAUUUCUCACAUGAAUAAUGGGUGAAGAGUCAAAGAAUGAUUCUUUUGCGGAAAAGAAGACCCGCCGGGGUUUGGGAAAGGGUAUGUGUAUGCAUUUAGUAUUGUUUAGUGUGGUAGCUCUAUGGUCCUGACCUUCACAUAUUUACAUAUUUAUUGGGCUGCCAUGUGUUAGGUGGAAACACAAAACUGUCAUUUUUUUGUAGGACGGAAAAGGCUGAAUACUGACAAUUUCAUAUGGCUCCACCUAAUAGAACAGGAAACAGAGUUAUCUCUGAAUUGUUUAUCUAAGGUAGAAUUUGGGGAAGAACUUAGAAUUUAUAAAAAUUAAAUUAAAUUUUAGACUAAAAUAUAUAGAUAUAUCUAGAGUUGUUCAAAAAUGAAAAUAGAGCUGAAAUAUCAAGUGCUAUAAUGGAGUUCAUAUAAGAAUUCCAUGCUUUAUAUUUGAGGUUGGAUAUGUGCUUUUUCUUUAUCCCUUUCAUUUAUAUGGAUCUAAUCUCCUAUAAUGUUUAAAACAUUUUGAUAGAGAUGUUCUUUGGUGUUCUUUUUCCUCUUGAUUUAAAGAUCUGCUUUACAACCAAACAGUAAGAUUAAACAAAACAAAACAAUGCCCAUGGCUUCAUGAUCACUCUAUCCAUUUAGAAAGGCCUUGUGCAUGGCCUAUGAUGGUCAUCUUGAAAUUCUUUGUAAUUUUUUAUCAAAGGGCUCUACAUUUUCACCUUUUACUGGGCCCUGAAAAUUAUGCACCCAGUCCUCAAUCCAUGGUCUUCUUAAAUUUGCAUGCAGAUUAGAAGUAUAAAGGUACAUUAAUUCUAGGCCAUCAAAGGCUAGCUUAUAACUUUCAAAUUACAUUUGGGAAUUGUUCUUAUAUAACAGCAUUUAUUGCUCCAAAGAUCAUUAUGUAAUAACUGCUAACUAAUCUAUAUGAAUGUACAUUUGGGAAACCAUGAAAACUUUCUAAAAGAGCUCUGCUGUUUUAUGUAACAAUCAUGAAAUAUUUCCAAAUGCAUAAAUAUAAAUAAUUACAAUAGAAAAUCUAAGAGACAAAAAAACUAUGAUAGUAUACCAAUGCAAUUUCUUGAAAAUAGAUACACAUGAAACAAAGAAUAAAGGAACAACAGGAAAAUGUGCCACUAUUGUGGUUACAGCUUCAAGGCAACACAUUAAAAUGCCAGCCAGACACAGGUGGCAACAGAUGUAUCUACCACCAAAAAAAAGUUAAGUGAAAAAUUUCAAAUGAAGUAACUGUUCAAUGAAAAGGAAAAAGAAUAAAAAUCACAUCAGCUUACAUGGCAAUGAAACAUGAAAGAUUCUGCUAAACAUUUAUGUUGAAAAUUAAGAUGGAGGUAAUCCAUGCACACUCAUCCAAAAAUAGAAAACAAGGAAUUAGUGGGCCAAAGCCAAUGUUAAUUUUGAAAACCUCAGAAAGAAGAAAAUUGAGAUAUGGUUGAUAGCUUCUCUACAAUAUAGCAAGAAAACUCUGUCCAAAUUCUAAAGGAUACAAAGUCUACUCAAUUUAAAAACAAAUGGCACGUUUCUGCCUCUUAAAAGACAUACGCAUAAUCUGUGAGUGCAUUUUCUACUUUAGAGACCAUUUGAAUUAAAAUCCUUAAGUUCUUAUGAAUGUUUUUGAAAUAUGUACAGUAAAUGAAUAAAGCCCAUAGUUAUUUAAGGAUAACAUUUAAAAUUAUUUACUAAAUCUUUAAUAUUAAAAUAAUAGUACAUGCCGUCCAGUCAUAAUCAAAAAAGCCAAGGUGAUUAUGGAGUAUUGAGGCUGAAAAGAGCAAGAUCUAAACCAACCUAUUCUGGACUUCACUGUCAAGGAAAAAAAUUGAGAGGAAAAUUUUCAAAAAAUACUUAUACUUGUGAGAUUGGUGAGGAGAAACAAUCUGUGAAAUAUUGCCAUUUCUCUGCAGUAAAAAUUUUAAAUGAUUGGUUAGCACGAUGUCCCUUUCUCUUCACACUCACAUCUUUCUGAUUUGCUCCUCAGAUCUCAGGCGUGCUGAGGCUAUAAUGUCUUUCCGUCCACCUUAGGUUUACUACUUUAAAAUUGAUUUUUGAUGUUGUUGUGAACAUGAAUUUUGUAUUAAUACAGGAGAAUGGGGUGUGUAUUUCUGAAAGUCCAGAGGUGUAGGGGCAAAGAAGAGAUUUCUGGAGUCCCCUGCAUGCCUGCUUACAGAGGUUUCCUUCCUGAUAUUGUCAACUUCUAGAAUUCUUGCUCUGGCUCCCUUUUAAAGCCCUGAGCACAGUUAAGUGUCUUUUCCUGACACUCAUUUAUACUACCAUGAGGCUCCUUUGUAACAUGAAAUGUACAAUGUGACCACUUGUUGGCUGCCCAAACAAACAUACGUUAGGACUUUUCACUCUGGCCUCCUAUACUGAAACAUCAUUCACAUUUAGUAAAGGAAGGGGCACUCUGUUAAACUCACCACAUUCUUUACUUUAUGGAGUCAUAUAGAGAUAUUCCACUAAGUCCUUUUGCUUGAUCCCAUAGAGACCAUCCUAUGAAAACUGAAUUAAUAUGAAAGCAGGUAGAGUGAAUAUUCAUUAAAGUCAUUUACAACAACGUCCAAUAGUGUCUCCAAGUGGAACAGAUAUUUAGAGACCAUUUGGCAGGAGAUAGGAUGGGGAAAGAGAGUGGCUGAUGCAUGCUGAGAAGUAGGAGGAACAAUCCAGUUUUUAAAAUAUUGUUCUUCUUGUUAAGAGUCUGUUUAUCAGGUUAAACACAGUCAAGUGGUCAGUUGAGUCUAAUAAUUCAGUAACUGAGAACAGAUGGAGAAUACAUGGAUAUGUGUCUGUGUGUACACUCACAUGCAAAAUCAGUUGCCCUGACUUUAUCUUACUUCCAUCAAUCUAUUUACUGAUUUUGAUAGGAAGAGUAUGUAUUUUAGAUACCUAAAGAGUAUCUCCUGAAAUACUUCCAUAUCCUUGCCGUUUGAAGAAUCUUUUUAAAGGAAGAAAAAUAAUUAUUAGCAAAGAAUUCACAUUCCGAAUGGCUCCAUUUUCAUCUCCUCAAUCCAGUGUUAAAAUUCAUGGCUUGGGAAAAGUGGGAUGUUUACAAUGCCUAUCUAUACCAUUUAUCUAUACCAUUAGUUUUAAUAGCCUGUUCACUUGAACAAUUUCUAAGUAUGUGGUAAAAGAAACUAAACUAAAAUAAUAAUGCAUUAUAUUUGAAAACAUCAGUAUCCUGUACACAAAACUUCCAUAAGUAGUUCUUCCUAGAUUGAAACUAGAACUAAUCCAUUUCCAAAAUCAUCUAUAUUUUUCUGAAGACAAAAAAUAAAUGUUGCUACAGAUAAUUGCCAUAGGCUGCAAAUAUUCUGAUUCAUCCAGUAUUUCUCUCUUGUUGCAUGUUGUAUAGAUAAAUAUAAUGCAUCAAUAUUAGGAUAGCGUAUAUUUUAUUAAAUGUUAAUGCAGAAUUCUAAGUUUUCUAGCAUUCACAGAAAAGCAAGCUACUGAUAAUAAAUAGUACUUAAAGAGAAAUCUUAUCUACUCAAUGAAUUGAGAAAUCCAGGAUAUUAAGGCCACAAAAAUGAUUGUUUAGAUGAUUUAAUUAUAGCACAACAGGCUUUUCUGCUGAUAAUGUUAUAAUUAUGUUUUAAUAACCCAAUCUCAACAAACAUAACUAGAGUACAAAUGAUGAGCACAAAAAUCCAUCUCAUUUGUAGCUCAGACUAGUGUUUCAAAUAUAAUUUCUCUUAGUAAUUUAGUCUGAUUUUUAUAAUUCAUUAGAAUAAAUCAAUAACUGACUUAGAAUCACUUCGAUGAUUUUAAGUAUUGUUCCACAGAAACAUUAACAAUACCACAAGCAUUAAAAUGUUGAGAAAUAUUUGUAUAUGAUGAUGUCAGUGGAUGUUCCUUUCCUCAGCUAAUAAAUUCUAGUAUAAAGUUUUCAGAUCUGUACACAAAAAUGGAUCAUGAAAAUAUAAUCACGGCAGAAACUAUGUAGCAAUUUUAUGAAUGUGGAGAAAGAGUUCAAAUAGUACUUUUGUACUGUACUGUGUCCAUGCAAAGCUUCAUUCGAUCAAACAAAAACAAUACUGAAUUUAUCAUGUUAAAAUCUUUAAGGACACUCUGGUAGAUGAGAUCAUUUUCCUGCAUUUGUUCACACUCUCUCCUAUCUCCAUCUCUAAGGCACAGAUAUAAUUCCCCACUCCUUGACUUUGAUCCUUGCUGUGUGAUUUUGCUUAAGCCAAAGGGGUAUCUUAGAGGAUUUCAGGCAACAGAAGCCUGGCAUGUUUUUGCACAGGCAGGUUGCACUCCUGACUUUUACCAUAACAAUAACAUGCUUCAAGUACCCGGGAGGGCUGAGGAGAAUCACAAAUACAUGGAACAGAUCUGGACACCAGCUGCAGCUUCAAGCCAAUGCUAUCCAAGCCCAGCCUAGAUCAGCUGAACUGCGUCUGACCAGAGGUGCAUGAACAAGGAAGGUAACGCGGUGGACCUGGGCCAGAUGAGCAGCUUCUACAUCGGCCUGGGUUCCCGCCUCCACUGCAAUAUCUUCUCCUACCACUACUCCGGCUACGGUGCCAGCUCGGGCAGGCCCUCCGAGACGAACCUCUGCGCCGACAUCAACGCCGCCUGGCAGGCCCUGCGCACCAGGUACCGCAUCAGCCCGGACAGCAUCAUCCUGUACCGGCAGAGCAUGGGCACGGUGCCCACCGUGGACCUGGCCUCGCGCUAGGAGUCCGCCACGGUGGUGCUGCACUCGCCGCUCACCUUGGACGUGAGCGUCGCCUUCCCCACACCAAGAAGACCUACUGCUUGGAUGCCUUCCCAAAAUCCAGAAGGUGUCCAAGAUCACGUCGCCCUUGCUCGUCAUCCAGGACACGAAAGACGAGGUGAUCGACUUCUCGCACGGGCUGGCGCUCUACCAGCGCUGCCCCAAGGCCGUGGAGCCGCUGUGGGUGGAGGGCGCCGGGCACAAAGACAUCUAGCUCUACAGCCAGUACCUGGAGCGCCUGCGCCGCUUCAUCUCUCAGGAGCUGCGCAGCCAGAGCGCCUAGCGGCCGCCGGGGCCCCAACCGGCCGGACCUCAGCAAUAAGGCGGCCCCCGGACCUCACCCCGCGCCGGGCCCCCAGGGACUGCAUGCGGACCCCCUAGCGGCCCGGGGGACCCCGCCCCGUCCCAGGGGCCGUGAACGAUGUACAGGCAACAGAGCUACGCACUCCUUUCCUUUUGGAAGCAAGAAGAAAAAUCGUGAAAACGGAAAUUAAAGAUUUAAUUUUUUUUAAAAAAAAACACAAUGUUUAUUAAUAUAUCCAAAGUUUUUCUUUUUUUUUUUUUGAGACGGAGUCUCACUCUGUCGCCCAGGCCGGAGUGCAGUGGCGCGAUCUCGGCUUACUGCAACCUCCGCCUCCCAGGUUCAAGCGAUUCUCCUGCCUCAACCUCCCGAGUAGCUGGGACUACAGGUGCGUGCCACCAUGCCCAGCUAAUUUUUUGUAUUUUUAGUAGUUAUGGGGUUUCACCGUGUCAGCCAGGAUGGUCUCAAUCUCCCAACCUUGUGAUCUGCCCGCCUCGGCCUCCCAAAGUGCUGGGAUUACAGGCGUGAGCCAUCAUGCCCGGCCGUUUUGCAUAGAUUUUUUAGUGCAGAAUCAUGGUGGCAAUGGGUAAUGGCUACCAAGGUGCCAUCGUUCAACAAUCCUGUUAUUCAGCCAUCACAUCUACUAUGUGUAAGCCAUAACAUCUUCUAAAAUGAAUUAUAACUAUAUUCUAAUUGAAAUAAAUGGUAUCACAAUAUUUCACUAAGUAAUCUCUGCUAGCUUAGUCUCUAUUUCAGCUCAACGGAAUGCCCUCUGAGUUCCUAUAAUUGUGACUAAUUCUCUGAGACGACAUCAGAAAUAUCAGUAUAAACUAUGAGACCUACAAAGGAGAUUCCUCUUUUUCCUUCUUAUUAUAGAGAUGCUUUUUUGUUUGUUUUCUGCAAGCAAGCAUGGUCUUAAUCAAUUUUGUAUGCCCAUACCUAGGAGAGCCCCUGAUUCAUAAUCAGACCUCAAUAAGAUUUGUUGAAUAAAGUGAAAGUAUUUUCAGCUUUCCCUCACCAUUUUCUUCAAAACAGACUAGUUCAUAACUGAAAUAGGCAUUGUUUCUAGAAAACAGUCACUCCAACUGAUCCCCUCGUUUAAUGGUUUUUGUACUCCCUGAAUCUAUCAUAAUACCUGGCACAUAGUGAGUAAGUAAUCGAUAUUUGUUGCCUGAACUAAUGGAAGCAUGAGUGAAUGAAAUAAUACAGGCAUUUUAAAAUUAUAAUUCAAGACUGAAAGCAUAUUACUUGUCAUUAGAGUGAUUUUAAACAGUUAAGUAUAUGAUAAUUAGGAAGAUUUACUUCCCUGCUUCAUUUAAAUUUUAAAUAUAGUGAUCAAGGUAAUUAUGAUUUUCAUUCAUUUAUUCAAUAAAUGUAUAUUUAAUAUUUUUUAUCUCACAUGAUAGAUACUGGUCAAAGACAUUACAAUGGUAUUAUACAUAAAGAUUUCUUUUACAUUUACAAUAUCUUGAAAUUUUUCUCUUGUUAAUCUAAAAAGUAUAUUUAUAGGUUGGGAAAUAUACUUUUUAAAAUGUCAGAUAAUUAUAUUUUUAUGUUCUAUUUUAUCUUAUUAUUAUUAUUAUUUUUGAUACAAGAUCUCACUGUGUCACCCAUGCUGGAAUGCAGUGGCAUAAUCACCGCUCACCACAACCUUAACCUCCCAGGCCCAGGUGAUCCUCCUACCUCAGCCUCCUGAGUUGCUAGGACUACAGGUGCCCGCCACCUUGCCCCGCUAACUUUUUACCUUUUUGUUUUGUUUUGUUUUGUUUUUGGUAGAGAUGAGUUUUCACCAUGUUGCCCAGGCUGGUCUUGAACUCCUGGGCUCAAGCAAAAUGCCAGCCUUGGCCUCCCAAAGUGUUAGGAUUACAGGCAUGAGCCACCACUAUGGGGCAGAUAAUGAUAGUUUUUCAAGAAUCGGUAAAAUAUUGUCCUUCAAUGAAUUAGUGCAGAAGCAUGAAAAAAAUCUAUUAUGAACAAAUCUGUGAAACAGACGUUGAAAUUAGUAUUCUAAUAAGGCUUUUGUGCUUUUUGAUGAUAUAAAAUAAUUUCGCUAUGACAAUACAGUUACUUAAAUGAGAAGUAUGAAUAACUUGCUUUGAUAUGUUUGUGGUAUGUUUCACUUAUUUUUUAAGAAGGGAAAUUAUUAAAUUUAAACUAUAUAUGUAAAGAGUGCACAUAGAAUAUUUUAAAACCUUGAAGAAUUAGAUCUUCAUUUCAAGAAUUAUUAAGUGUCUUAAGAACAUAUUUAUUUUCUAGAAAUGUUGAGCCUCUUCUUGGGUAAUGUGAUUCUUUUAAAAAUUUUGAAAGGAUUUCUUAUUACAUUAAAAAUGAAUGUAUACAAUAGGAAGUUACUAGGAUAGAGUGAAUUUGGCAGCUAUCUUGCUUUGUUAUAUGUCUUAUAAAUUAAAAUUAUAUUUUCAUAAUUAAAAGCCAAGCUCAUUUGCUUUGAUAAGACUAAGAGAAAAGGAGUAUUAAAUGAAGUUAAAUUAGAUUUUACCAUCUUUUUAAUAAGUUUCAGGCCUGGUUUGAUAAUAUAUUCCCAGAUAAAUAAUUUAAAAAUGAUCUUUUGGCCAGGUGUGGUGGCUCACGCCUGUUAAUCCCAGCACUUUGGGAGGCCGAGGCGGGCGGAUCACGAGGUCAGGAAAUCGAGACCAUCCUGGUUAACACGGUGAAACCCCAUCUCUACUAAAAAUACAAAAAAUUAGCUGGGCGUGGUGGCCAGCGCCCGUAGUCCCAGCUACUCGGGAGGCUGCGGCAGGGGAAUGGCGUGAACCCGGGAGGCGGAGUUUGCAGUGAGCCGAGAUGGCGCCACUACACUCCAGCCUGGGCGACAGAGCGAGGCUCUGUCUCAAAAAUAAAAACUAAAUACAUAAAUAUGAAUUUAGUGACAGCUGGUUAUAGUUUGGAACCUCAUUUGUGAAAUAAGCCAUAUUUCAAAAUAUUUUAAGCAGAAAUACAUUUAAGUUUUAGCCUAUAAAUUACCAGAAUUUGUCCUAGUCACCUAAAUAAAAAAUAUAAAAGUUCUACAUUUUAACGUCCUUUCAACAUUUUAUGUCCAGAAAACCCAGCAGAUAAACAGCUCAGGUCUUAAUGGGAAAUGAUAACAUAUAAGAUCAGCGGCAUCCACAUAAAUAAAUUUUUAUCCAACACAAAACAAUUACAUACCCUUUAAUGAAAAAGAAAUUACCAAUGGCCAACCCCAAUCCCACUACUUUCAAAAAAAGUCCUCAAGCUUUCCUUUGCAGUUAAAUGUACACUGAUGGAAAUGGUGGUUUUAUGCAGACAAUUGAUGUUUUUAAAUGAAAUGUCUAAUAGGGAAGUCAGUGCAUUACACUACCCAUUCCAGAAAGCAGCCUUCCAUUGAAUUUACUCAGACAAACUAAUUGCGGAAUUAGAUGACCAUGGAACGUUAUUGAGGGCAUAUCCAGCACUUUCUUCUGAACCAAAACCAAAUCUCUUUUGGUCACUACUGCAUUGCUAUUCAAAAUCCAGAACUGUUCAUCUCUCUGGAAUAUUAGUAUCAUAAGCCUGGGGAGGUGACAAUGUCAUGUAAUGGAGUUGUGGGGAGAGGAGUCAGAGUGUUGUGGCAAUUCCCCGACUAAGGGAAAGAGUCUGUAGAAGUUCAUAGAAUCAGCUGACAUGCUAUGGUCAAAGAAUUCACAAUUAGCAAUUGACCAAUCAAUUAUGAUUAACUCAUUCUGUAUGACUAUCAUAGGCCAUUAAAAAUAGGAAAGGGUGUUUCUAAAAUGUGUUUCAUAACAAGUGAUUUAAUGAUAAAAGCUUGGACAGUUUUCAGAAUUCAAACAUUCCGAGAUACUAAUAUCUUUAAAAACUCCUGUCAUUGUGUGUGUGUGUGUGUGUGUGUAAACACUACCUGUGUAAUCAUCUAUUGAGAUUUAAAUUAGAACUUUUCUCAGUGUACCACAGUUCUAAAGGUACUAUUUAUUAUAUUGGUAUCCUAGGAACAGAGUGAAAAAAGGCAAAGAGGUAAUUUAGCAGUCUUUUUCUACUAAAAUCAGAGUGUCUCUCAUCUCUGCCUGAAUCCACUACAUUGUGAUUACUGAAAUACAUAUUAUAGAAUAUCUACUUAUUUUGUAGAUUUAGACAAUGAUUAUGAUUAUUGCUUUUCUCACAUCUAAAAAUCAAAUUUAUAUUACACAUGAAGACAUUUUGUAAAGAAGUUUUGUUGUCUAUAAAAAUGAAUACUUAAUAGAAACAUAAUAUUAUUUUAUGUUAUUUGAAUUGUUAGGUUUAAGAAAAUAAAAUGUUUUUUAAAUCUAUUACUUUUAACAACACUGUAACAUUUAUUGGUUUUGCAAUAAAAUAAAUCCAGAAAA